rnacentral:rRNA from 1 species
CAGCAGCCGCGGGAAUACGAAGGGUGCAAGCGUUAAUCGGAAUUACUGGGCGUAAAGAGCGUGUAGGCGGCUUGAUAAGUCUGCUGUGAAAGUCCAGGGCUCAACCCUGGAAUGCCGGUGGAUACUGUUGGGCUAGAGUCCGGAAGGGGCGAGUGGAAUUCCUGGUGUAGCGGUGAAACGCGCAGAUAUCAGGAGGAACACCAAUGGCGAAGGCAGCUCGCUGGGACGUGACUGACGCUGAGACGCGAAAGCGUGGGGAGCAAACAGGAUUAGAUACCCCCGUAGUCCCUGUCUCUUAUCA